UACAGAGGGGGCAAGCGUUGUUCGGAAUUACUGGGCGUAAAGGGCGCGUAGGCGGCCGCCUAAGUCAGACGUGAAAUCCCUCGGCUCAACCGGGGAACUGCGUCUGAUACUGGGUGGCUUGAAUCCGGGAGAGGGAUGCGGAAUUCCAGGUGUAGCGGUGAAAUGCGCAGAUAUCAGGAAGAACACCCGUGGCGAAAGCGGCUCUCUGGAACGGUACUGACGCUGAGACGCGAAAGCGUGGGGAGCGAACAGG
rnacentral:rRNA from 1 species